UACGUAGGAGGCGAGCGUUGUCCGGAAUUACUGGGUGUAAAGCGCGUGUAGGCGGCCUGCCAAGUCUGCUGUGAAAGCGCCUGGCUUAACCGGGCGAGGUCGGUGGAAACUGGCGGGCUGGAGGCCGGUAGAGGGGGGGUGGAAUUCCCGGUGUAGUGGUGAAAUGCGUAGAGAUCGGGAGGAACACCAGUGGCGAAGGCGGCCCCCCUGGGCCCGGGCCUGACGCUGAGACGCGAAAGCGCGGGGGAGCGAACGGG
rnacentral:rRNA from 1 species